AAGUCAAUAGUAUUCAGCUAGAUUGAACAAAGAUAUACUUUCUUGAUUUUGAUAACAUAUCAAGAACUUUGCAUGGUUAAUUAAGCCAAAAAAAGAAAAAAAGUGCACAGUUAUAUCCGCGAUCAUACACCUUUAAAAAAAAUAUACUCCAUCUAUUUUAAAUUAUAAGAUAUUUGCUAUGCCUAAGAGAAAAUUCCAUAAAAA
rnacentral:lncRNA from 1 species